AAUUCUUUUCCAUUUAGGAGAAACAACUAUGCAUGUGCGGAGGGAAGCAGUUCCAAUGUGUACAUAAAACACAUGCAUGUUUCCUAGAAUGGCUGGUUUUGGAAAUUACCAUCUUGGACAAGAUGCCAGUACUUUGGAGCAGCUGUUCCAGAAAGUCUUGAAACACAUAUCAAAGGAAUCACCCUCUUCAAAACAUACCUGUUGAAACAUCAUCCUCUUGAACCGUCCACCCAGGCAAACUACACAGAAUUGAUACCUGGCCAGAGACCCUGCAGCGACAAUUAUAGAAGAUGAAUGGUGCUCCCCCCACCUCGGUAAUGUCUCAGUAUCUUAAAAACAAUUGAUAUUUUAAAAGUUCCACAAACAUGAUUCUUUGCCAUAAAGUCACAUGUAAAAGUAAGGGGUCAAAGAGACUGCAAAGAGAACAAACCUAUCAAUUCUAAAGGAAAUCAACCCCGAGUGCUCAUUGGAAGGACAGAUCCUGAAGCUGAGGCUCCAGUACUUUGGCCAUCUCAUGAGAAGAGAAGACUCCUUGGAAAAGACUUUUGGGAAAGUAAA
rnacentral:lncRNA from 1 species